AGCGAACGCUGGCGGCAGGCCUAACACAUGCAAGUCGAACGAAGUCUUCGGACUUAGUGGCGGACGGGUGAGUAACACGUGGGAACGUACCAUUUGGUUCGGAACAACUCAGGGAAACUUGAGCUAAUACCGGAUGAGCCCUUAGGGGGAAAGAUUUAUCGCCGAAAGAGCGGCCCGCGUUAGAUUAGCUAGGUGGUGAGGUAAAGGCUCACCAAAGCUACGAUCUAUAGCUGGUCUGCGAGGAUGAUCAGCCACACUGGGACUGAGACACGGCCCAGACUCCCACGUGAGGCAGCAGUGGGGAAUCUUGCGCAAUGGGCGGAAGCCUGACGCAGCCAUGCCGCGUGAAUGAUGAAGGUCUUAGGAUUGUAAAAUUCUUUUACCAGGGACGAUAAUGACGGUACCUGGAGAAAAAGCCCCGGCUAACUUCGUGCCAGCCGCCGCGGUAAAAC
rnacentral:rRNA from 1 species